rnacentral:lncRNA from 1 species
AGGGUUGUUAUAUCAAAACUCAUUUGCUGUUUUGCUCUUUCCACAGACCUGCAGUAGUAGAAAUCUGAACUGUAGUUUGGUUUUUUCACCCUCAUGGCAGAGUUAGAAGGAAUGAGAGCUCCUUCCCUGGGCCUUGUAUCUCCUCCAAGCCCACAGCUUGGCUCUGCACGUAGGAAAAUGUGUGAAUGAUGUAACUCUGUAUCCUCAGCUUCCAAAGCAGAAGAAUUGAAUCAACUGAGACUGUGGAUGCAUGAAAGAAGGUGGUGAGAGAAGGAUGAAGAUGACAGAUUCUCCUCUGGUGAUGCACAGAGGUGUUGUGACCUGUGAUCUCCAGCAGCCUUUUGUGUCACAGCCCAUGCAGACCAGACCUGCUGUCGGGGGAGAUGCUCUGGGAUGGCUGGAGGGAAGACACCAGCCUCUCUCUGAAAUGACAAAGAUGAGGAAAAAUAGAAGAGGAAAAAAAGUGUUUACAGGGGACACUUUGCAGCUAGAAGGAAGCUGAGUGCAAGGCCCUGCCUAUGAAUGGGGAUGACUUCUGCUUCUUAAAAGGACUAUCACUUGCAACCUCAGCUCCCUCCAGCUAUAGACAAAGGCUAUCCUUGACUUCUUCAGCUUGUUCAGCACCACCUGAUCCACUGCUGAGGUUUGGCAC